rnacentral:rRNA from 1 species
GAUGAACGCUGGCGGCGUGCCUAAUACAUGCAAGUAGAACGCUGAAGGAGGAGCUUGCUCUUCUGGAUGAGUUGCGAACGGGUGAGUAACGCGUAGGUAACCUGCCUGGUAGCGGGGGAUAACUCUUGGAAACGAUAGCUAAUACCGCAUGACAACAGUUAUUGCAUGAUAACUGUUUAAAAGGGGCAACUGCUCCACUACCAGAUGGACCUGCGUUGUAUUAGCUAGUUGGUGAGGUAACGGCUCACCAAGGCGACGAUACAUAGCCGACCUGAGAGGGUGAUCGGCCACACUGGGACUGAGACACGGCCCAGACGCCUACGGGAGGCAGCAGUAGGGAAUCUUCGGCAAUGGACGGAAGUCUGACCGAGCAACGCCGCGGGAGGGAAGAAGGUUUUCGGAUCGGAAAGCUCUGUUGUAAGAGAAGAACGAGUGUGAGAGUGGAAAGUUCACACUGUGACGGUAUCUUACCAGAAAGGGACGGCUAACUACGUG